GCAUCAAGAGCUGUUUGAAGUACCAUCAAGCUUGUACCAUCUAUUUCCACCAGCAUAGAUAUUGUAUUCCAAAUAAGUUAUAGAGUUUAGCUGCAGCAUCAGCUCCGCUCAGGUUCCUUUGUGUUCUCACAGGUUCCUUUGUGUUCUCAUUUUUGUUUUUUUGUUCUCUGACUCUGUUUACCUACCAUUGUAUUUCCUUGUUGAGCUUGCCGAACUAGAAGGAUGAUAUUGUUAAUACAAACUCAAAUAUUUUGUGUGCUCCUGCCAUUUGUUUCCAUACUUGAGUUGCUUCUUCUUAAGCUUGUGUCGAAGAAGUUGAUUGAAUAUUGGCUCUGUGCAUGGCAAGUAGCAGUUGUUUGGCUACAGAAGUUGUUGAUGAGAUGCAUGAAGUUUUAUUAAACUGCUGAAUUACAGCUUUAAGGAGUUGGUGGGGAGUGAGUGUCUUUAUGGCCCGAGUGAGAUCUCUGGACAGUACCCAGGUUUGGUAGUAAAGGCAGGAUUUCGAUUUCCCGUUAAGCAUCAUGUUGUUUGGUGAAGAACAAGGUAUGCCCAUGAAGCAGAAUGUUUUUGUACUUCGAGCUUGAGGUGGCUGUCUCAGUGUCUCUGUUCUAGCCUAACUGUAACAUUGCAAUGUUUUUACAAUUGUGAUCCCAAGUUGCUUAGCAAACCCUUUUGUUGACUUCUAUGGGAUUUAUAGUUUUAACUUUUAUUUGAUCUAAUCCCAGAAUCAGGCUGUAGUUUAUUGUAAAUCUCAAGAAUCAUAGCAUAUGUCCUGGAAAAACAAUUAUUUCGUA